AUGCUAAUUGUUGUAAUUAUGCUAACAAAUAGAGAAGGCCUUUGAAAGGGAAGCUUCUGCAAAUCCUGGAAGGAGGAAACUGCAAUCUUCGGUCGGGCACAUGAUUGUUUCCAUUGUUAGUGCUUCUGACUUGUUAAACGUGCUCAUUACCACUUACUCUGCGAAUUCAUUUCGGUAAAGGAACUGACAUUUAACAGGUUUAAGAAAAAAUUAAAUGAAAAAUCAGAUAAACACAAUUUAUGGCUAGUGAUAUGCAAGCGUACGAAAUGUGAACGAAAGCCUAGCCUGACCAAGCAUUUCUUUUGUGAUUUAUUAGGCCUGUAUUUUAGCCAGGCUUAAGCUAGUUUAGCUGCAGGCAAGGGAAACCAUCGAAUUGAGCAGGAGCCUUACCUAGCAAAAUCCGAUUUCAUUUAACAAAAUUUCCUAAAUAAAAGUCUGCAGAUUGCCGAGAUUAAUGGUUAAUAGAUUUUGCUCCCAUUAUCUUCUCGUGAUUUGAAGAUUUGAAUGAGCUUUCCUUGUAUAAAUGAUGCUUUGCAGAAGUUUUAAAAAUAGGAUUGGCAAGUGUACAAACUUGAAUGUAGAUUAGCUACAUGAAAAAUCUAAUCUACAAGGUUUACAAGAAUGAACUGGCACAUAUAUGGGGGAAAACGUAUAGAUAUCUGUGUUGGCAUCCACAUUCAGCCUUUCUUCCUCUUGACAUUAGUCUUCUUUUUUGACUUUCUAAACCCUCCACUCUCCUGCCAGCAAGAAAAUAUGUGGAAAAAGAAAAAAUUACACCAGCUAAAUGAAAAUAUAAACAUUAACACAACUUUUUCAAGGAAGAAUCAUACUAAAACGAACGGAAGAGAAGAAAUAAAGAAAGAAAAACGAAUAAAACAUUGUCCUUCAUACCUUUCUGUAGUGUCUGUAUGCAAUUUGACCAGUCAACUCCUGACCACUUCUCGAAACAUAAACCUACAGGUGAUCAAGCAGGGGAAAGAUGUACACAGAAUAUUGAAAGAGAACAUCAUUAACAGACAAGUAAAACCGGUGGAAAGGGAGCCUCCAAAAUGUUGACAUGGAAAGAGGAGGGAUAACAUAAUAUCCAGUAAGAUAAUCUAAUUUGCGUUUGUUGAUAAACCUAUGUGAAGGGAAGUAUCAUAGUUUAACAGCUAAUCCAUGGCUCCCAACUACUAAAUUUCACUGUCGCACUUUUAGAGCUUAAACACCCCUGUAAUUUUAAUAUAUAGCAGAUGUGGAACAAUUUUCUCACUAUGGCAUGGUGAUGAGCAGAAUUUCAGGAAAAUUAAGAGUUUAACUAGUCCUCGUGGGUUUCUUGAAAUCAAUUUCCUCUUGCAUUAAAAGUGCUGCCAACUAAAUAAAGGAUUUGAGAAACUCAUUUGUAUUCUAAGAUUUUAGGGUUAAUUGGCAAGGGCCAUAAAAAAAAAAAACUUCAAAAUUUGACCUAGUUCUACUAUUGGUUGAAAUAUCAAAGCACACAUAAAAAUGAACCAAUCAAUUAUUGGAUAAUUAUUAUAAAAAUUUAAAUUCAUUAAAAAUAUCAUUUCAGAUGCAGUGAUUCAGCAUACCUUCCUCCCCUCAGGGGAUGUAAACCAGCGACCAGCAGCUUGACCAUUUGCAUGAACACGUCUUUUCCCAGCAUCCUUUGGAAUGGCAGAACUGAUUUUAGGGUCUACCCAUCCUUCAGAAGCAUGCAUGACUUCUUUGGCAUUUGAUUUCUUUAAUUUGUUUCUUCCCCUUGUUGAGCCUUUCCCAUUGUUACUUCCCCGAGUUCCCCCCUGCUUAGAAGCUUCUCCAUGGAAUUGACUUAUGUAAUUAAUGACUGAUUCACUAUGCUGCUGAUUUCCCCUGUUAACUAUGCCCAAUGGGGAAAAGUUAGGUAAGCGACAGCGGACUAGUGUCUGAAUCCUUGGAUCAUCAUGGAAGAAAUAAUGAUGAGCUGGAGGAAGAGGGUCAGCCAAAUUCCAUCUUUGCUCGUAGCCUUUGAUGCUAUUUAAGUCAUGAUGACUGCCCACACCGCCUUUAUAUAAACCACUUCCCAGUUUCUGAGCUGCAUUCUUAUCUUGAAGGGAGUGGAAAUAUUCUUUGCAGACCUCAUCCAGAACAGGUGUUGGAAUGUGAAAAUUCUUUACCGGACAGAAAUCUUUCCACAAAUCCUCACUUUGAUGCUUCUCUGCUGAUUGAUUUCUCCUUUGUUCACAUGCAGGAGGCUGCUGCUUCUUCAAGGAUGAAUUAAUUUUUCUGCUUACAUCUUUAUUCAUAGAAGGCUCUUCAGAAUCAGAAUCAGAAUCAGAAUCAACUAACUGAAACCUUCGAAGAGGACUUCUAGUUAGCUUUGGAAAUACCAAGCCAUUGUGGCCUGUCUCUGCACAGGAAGAGGAUGGAGCAUCUGAAGAAUGUUCACUUUUCUUCUGGCUUGAUGAUUGAGUAGUCAGAACCCCAGAACCAUGCAGAGGAACCUUUGAACUACUACAUACAGAAUUGUACUGUUUUGAUGAAUGUGCAUCUGCUAUGAAAAAAACAACUUAGAUCAUUGAAAAUAUUGAUCUAAAAAAAAUAACCAUCUGGGUAUAUGGAUGCAUGAUGAAAUUGAUAGUGAUAUUUGAUUAGAGACAGCCACCCACAAGGAAAAAUGAAGCAUAUUAAAUCAAUUGCCUAAGCACCCAUUCCAUAUAGAAAGGCAUUUGUAAACAUUCAAGACUAAGGCAUGUUCAUCUAAGCUGACAUUUACAAUCUGAGAAAUCCUCUUAGCAAGAUGAAAUUUUGAACAAGUGAAUGUAUCAAUCUAUCAAGAGAAGUCUGACUUGAAUGAAUUGUAAUUAAGCAGUGACAAUCAGUUGACUUGAAUCUAUAAUAUAAACAAUGGAAAAGUAUUAUUGGAAAAAAUUAUAAAAUCUAUGACUUUAAGCCACUCUUGGUCACUACUGAAAAGUCACAUCAGAUAUGAUAUUCCAUUGCAUGGCACUAUUUGAAAAUGUUUAAUUAUAGCCAAGAUGAAUUCCAGUGAUUAGCUGCUCUAGCCCCUAAGCUAAGACCAUGUCUGUAGCCAAGAUUUGGCUCGAAGUUAGGCUUGCUUAGCAUGAUCCUGUGACUAUUCCCAAUAAUACAUAGGUCAAGAUUCAAGAAAUAAAUAUGUUUGCAAAGAAGGGUUGGCCAUGCUGCUUAAUAAGUCAUUAAAUUGCUAAAGAGACCACUGUAAGAGAUUUUCCUGAGCUGGCGAUAAGCAUCAAGUCCGUUCCAUCCUAGAACUUGUCUUAGCCAAGUUACCCAAGUUCAGUAAUUUUCUUGUUAAUAACUUCAAAUUCUUGUGCAACAAUCAUCUACAGAAAAGUAAAAUGCAAGCUCUUUUAACAAGAUUCAUAAUAUCAAGUCCCUUGCCAGAUGCAAUACAUAAAGUCAAGCCAUUAUUUGCUCUUAGAUUUCUUAACACGUUCCUUUUGUUUUCCGUAUCAACCCAAUAUCUAAAGUGAUCACUCUUGGGGCAGAUACGUCUACAACUACUUGAAAUACCAAUAACAUCACUGAGGUGAGUGUUAUAUGCAACUCUGUCUUGCUUUUCCCCCUUAUUUGGUUCUUGAACAUUAGAAGAGAAAGUGAAAUCAAAAGGCAUCAUAAUAGAUUCCUCCUAUAUAACAUAAGCAAAAUCUCUUAUUUCCUUUCCCUCUUUUUUUCUUCCAAAAAAAAAGUUCUGAGACGAUUUUAGCAUAAAAAUUUUAGGGUUUUUAACUUCUUCCACUCAACAUCACUAGCAAGGUCUCAACUUUAUUUCUAUUCCUUUGUACAGUUCCCAAAAACAAAUCUCUCUUUUAGAAAUUAGCCAAUUUAACCCAUUACUAAUGCUCCAUUUACAUGCAACCAACUUCUUGCAUUAACCAUAUUGAUAAUAUGCACUAAAUAACUUCCUGAAAACCGUUCAAAGCACAGACAAAUGCACCAAAAAAAAACAAAAAGAAAAAUAAAUGGGCAGUAUUACCCCUAACAAAAUCUUCCUGUGAGGAGAACUCUUCGAUCUCAUCAUCACCAUUAUAAAAAAAACCGCCUCCUUUUCUUUCCUCUUCAAUCUUGGUUCCUCGAUUGCGGGUCCUCGUCUCAGCCGCUUGAAUAUCCGGGGCGAAUCUGGCCCACUUUCGGGAUCCGAAUCCAUAACCUGAAGCCCAGAACCAUCUUUUUCGGAAUUUGCGACUCGGGGUUGGAAAACUCGAUCAUCAUCGUCCUCCGAUAGGGUACAGGAACUCGGACCUGGAGCUGGAUUGAGAACGGACAGUUCAUGGAUUCGAGUGGGUAUUUCAGGUUCCGGUUCGGCAUCGAGGUCCAGGCCGAGAGAGAAGGAUGGAGGGUCAAUAUCGGCCAUUGGAGAGAGAGAGAGAAAGAGAGAAAUAAUGGAGAACGUAAAAUUGAAGCAGAAUGAAAUUGGGGGAGGGGAUGAGGGAAUUUCAAUUUUUU
rnacentral:misc_RNA from 1 species